GACGUAGGGGGCCAGCGUUGUUCGGAAUUACUGGGUGUAAAGGGUUCGUAGGCGGUGCGGCAAGUUGGGAGUGAAAUCUCUGGGCUUAACCCAGAGGCUGCUUCCAAAACUGCUGUGCUUGAGUGUGGGAGAGGCGCGUGGAGUUGCAGGUGUAGCGGUGAAAUGCGUAGAUAUCUGCAGGAACACCCGUGGCGAAAGCGGCGCGCUGGACCACUACUGACGCUGAGGAACGAAAGCUAGGGGAGCAAACAGG
rnacentral:rRNA from 1 species